AGAAUCAACGCUGGCGGCGUGCCUAACACAUGCAAGUCGCACGAGAAAGUGUAGCAAUACCUGAGUAAAGUGGCGCACGGGUGAGUAACACGUGAAUGAUCUACCUCCGAGUGGGGAAUAACUGAGAGAAAUCUUAGCUAAUACCGCAUAACACUUACGAGUCAAAGCAGCAAUGCGCUUGGAGAGGAGUUCGCGGCCGAUUAGUUAGUUGGCUGGGUAAUGGCCCACAAGACGAUGAUCGGUA
rnacentral:rRNA from 1 species